GAUGAACGCUAGCUACAGGCUUAACACAUGCAAGUCGAGGGACCGGCGUACGGGUGAGUAACGCGUAUCCAACCUUCACAUUACUGUGGGAUAAACUGCCGAAAGGCAGACUAAUACCGCCUAGUAAUGGAUGGGGAUGCGUCUGAUUAGCUUGUUGGCGGGGUAACGGCCCACCAAGGCGACGAUCAGUAGGGGUUCUGAGAGGAAUGUCCCCCACAUUUGAACUGAGACACGGUCCAAACUCGUACGGGCGGCAGCAGUCAGGAAUAUUAGUCAAUCGAUCGUAGUCUGCACCAGCCAUGUAGCGGGCAGGAUGACUGUCUCUUGGUUGUAGAGUGAUCUUGGAUGGUAUUAGGUACUAUCGGUGAUUUGACCGGCGAAUUCCGUGCCAGCAGCCGCGGUAAUAC
rnacentral:rRNA from 1 species